CCGCGAGCAGCUCGAUUGGAUGGAGCACCGUCUCUCGAAGGCGGAGGUUGGAGGUUCGAGUCCUCCCUCGCGGUCCA
rnacentral:tRNA from 2 species